UGGGGAAUUUUGGACAAUGGGCGAAAGCCUGAUCCAGCAAUGCCGCGUGUGUGAAGAAGGCCUUCGGGUUGUAAAGCACUUUCAGUGGGAAAGAAAUACUCAAGAUUAAUACUCUUGAGAGUUGACGUUACCCAAAGAAGAAGCACUGGCAAACUCUGUGCCAGCAGCCGCGGUAAUACAGAGAGUGCAAGCGUUAAUCGGAAUCACUGGGCGUAAAGCGCAUGUAGGUGGAUAUUUAAGUCGGAUGUGAAAGCCCCGGGCUCAACCUGGGAAUUGCAUUCGAUACUGGACAUCUAGAGUAUGGUAGAGGGAGGUGGAAUUUCCGGUGUAGCGGUGAAAUGCGUAGAUAUCGGAAAGAACACCAGUGGCGAAGGCGACCUCCUGGACCAAUACUGACACUCAAGUGCGAAAGCGUGGGGAGCAAACAGG
rnacentral:rRNA from 1 species